CUUGGGGGGGGGCGGUUGGUGUCCCUCAGCCCAGAUUGUGAGAGGGUGCAGGUCAGGCAGAGGGACCCUACCAGUACACA
rnacentral:pre_miRNA from 1 species